AGUGGGAUAGUUGGGUCAUACAAUGGUUUCAUAUCUUUUGAGAAAUCUCCAUACUGCUUUCCAAAGUGGUUGUACUAAUUUGGAGUCCCAUCAACAAU
rnacentral:pre_miRNA from 1 species